rnacentral:misc_RNA from 1 species
UGAGCCAACAAAACCUGAUUAUAGGUAUUCAACUAAUUUUGCAAUAAAUAGGUUGUUAACUCUUAAUAUAAUUCAGUUUGAGAAAUGCUUAUGAGGAAUUUUCGAUCACAGUAACUAAGACAGACAUAUAUAUAUUAUCACUUCUAGAUGUUAGGGAUAUUGCUUCCAUUUGUGGCAAGCAUGGGGCUUUUAACUCUUCUGGGUUGGUCUUUUAUUAAGUGAAUUGACAUUAUUGUUUAUGCCU